ACCUCUCCGAUGAGCCCCUUCUUGAUUCCCAUUUCACAUUAUUUUUCGAUCAUUGUGCUCAACAUCAUUUUCUGUGCAAGGUAACCGAAGAAAAGACAUCAACUGCAAAGGAGGAUCGGGGAGCCACCGUACCUGGAGGUCCCCCUGUCAGUAGGUUUGGUUUUUUCUGAGAUUUUCCGGCAAAACGAAGCUUCUAACGUGUUUUUCUGCAGAAUACGGCCAAAACCAGUCAAAACUGACCAAAACUGGUUAGGCCAAGGGAACCAACGUCCUGGGCGGCAGA
rnacentral:lncRNA from 1 species